AAGAAAAGGAACCAUUGCCCAACCAUUCUCAAGAUACAUCAAUAUCAGAAGUCAUGCUAAUGAAGAUCAUCAGUGAUAUGUUGAAGCUCGACUAUGCCAUGCAGAAAAAUAUUGUUUUGAACUUGAACAUUGGGACAAGUGUAUCUGAACUAGAAGGCUAUUGUCUCCUGUGGAAUCUGCAUCCAUACAUAGAUGAUGACAUUAUACAUCAGGCAUGGCAAUAUGGUCCCUCUCAUGAUCAGAGUUCGCGAUAGUAGGCACCUCACUCUUGCGUGAGUGAGGUGGAAAUGAGGGUAAACCAUGGCCUUUGGUUUCUUAAUGGAACUCCAUUAUCACUGAUUCCUUGGAGGUCUUGCUUUUGUCUGCUGUUGAGUUUCUUGUGUGGAUUCAAAUAGUAGGUUUGCCCUUUGAUCUUGUUCAUAGAGUGUUAUAUUCUCGAUUUUCAUACAUUUAAUAUUUAAUUGAUAUAUAUUAUGAUUUAUUAA